UUGUUGGAGAGUUUGAUCCUGGCUCAGGACGAACGCUGGCGGCGUGCUUAACACAUGCAAGUCGAGCGGUAAGGCCCUUUCGGGGGUACACGAGCGGCGAACGGGUGAGUAACACGUGGGUGACCUGCCCUCCACUCUGGGAUAAGCCCGGGAAACUGGGUCUAAUACCGGAUAGGACCACUGAUCGCAUGGUUGGUGGUGGAAAGUUUUUUCGGUGGGGGAUGGGCCCGCGGCCUAUCAGCUUGUUGGUGGGGUGAUGGCCUACCAAGGCGGUGACGGGUAGCCGGCCUGAGAGGGCGACCGGCCACACUGGGACUGAGACACGGCCCAGACUCCUACGGG
rnacentral:rRNA from 1 species